AGGUCUUUAAUUAAGACUAGACCAGGUGAGAGCGUAUAAAUCUUUCGCCUUUUACUAAAGAUUUCCGCGGAGAAAACUUUAGACCAGGUUCAAGUUUCUCCCGGCCAGGCCACAGGCG